UUAAGCAUAUCAAUAAGCGGAGGAAAAGAAACUAACAAGGAUUCCCCUAGUAACGGCGAGUGAAGCGGGAAGAGCUCAAAUUUGAAAUCUGGUGGCCUCAGGUCAUCCGAGUUGUAAUCUAUAGAAGUGUUUUCCGUGCUGGCUCAUGUACAAGUCCCUUGGAACAGGGCGUCAUAGAGGGUGAGAAUCCCGUCCUUGACAUGAACUACCAGUGCUCUGUGAUACAUUUUCAACGAGUCGAGUUGUUUGGGAAUGCAGCUCAAAAUGGGUGGUAAAUUCCAUCUAAAGCUAAAUAUUGGCGAGAGACCGAUAGCGAACAAGUACCGUGAGGGAAAGAUGAAAAGCACUUUGGAAAGAGAGUUAAACAGUAUGUGAAAUUGUUGAAAGGGAAACGAUUGAAGUCAGUCGUGCUCUUUGGAUUCAGCCGGUUCUGCCGGUGUACUUCCUUUGAGUGGGGUCAACAUCAGUUUUGAUCGCUGGAUAAAGGCUGGAGGAACGUAGUACCCUCGGGUAAACUUAUAGCCUCCUGUCACAUACAGUGGUUGGGACUGAGGAACGCAGCACGCCUUUAUGGCCGGGAUUCGUCCACGUACGUGCUUAGGAUGUUGACAUAAUGGCUUUAAACGACCC
rnacentral:rRNA from 1 species